rnacentral:rRNA from 1 species
UACGUAGGGGGCAAGCGUUGUCCGGAUUUAUUGGGCGUAAAGAGCUCGUAGGCGGCUCAGUAAGUCGGGUGUGAAAGCCCCGAGCUCAACUCGGGGAGGCCACCCGAUACUGCUGUGGCUAGAGUCCGGUAGGGGAGCGUGGAAUUCCCGGUGUAGCGGUGAAAUGCGCAGAUAUCGGGAGGAACACCAGCGGCGAAGGCGGCGCUCUGGGCCGGAACUGACGCUGAGAAGCGAAAGCGUGGGGAGCGAACAGG